CUGUAUCAACAUACACUGUAGAUCCGGUGCGUUUAAGGGUAAUAGUCUUUCUGACAUAUUUCAAAUUUUAAAAUUAGAAAACACACAAUCAAAAUUUUGUAAUGAACACAUUAAAGUGGUUCAGCUUAAUUUGGCUAUUUUUGCAUAAAGAAUAAUUGGAAUGGAUCGGAAAUAUUUUGCAAUAUAUGUUAUAUAUUGUUCUUGAUAAUUGCAUGAAAUUAAUAAUUAUUGAUAUUUCCGGAAAUGAAUAUCAUUAUAUGUCUAUCUAGGUAAUCAUUAAAUACGACUCAUUAAUACAGUUAGAAAGUAUAGAUAAUGUGUAUCAUAUCAUUUUACAGACUCGAUCAUUUUUUUCCUCCUCGAGUUUCUGUAUCAUUUUUUUAUCGUUUGCAGCUGUUCUCAGUAUUCGUUAAUCAAUCAAUCAUAUAGAGUUCAACGGUCAAUCAGAUAUUUUCCUAACCUCAUUAUACGUUUUCUUCGUUGUCAUAAGCGUUCGAGUUGUAGCCAUGGUGUACACAUGGUUUUGAUAGAGAGUAAUUUUACUCUGUGUCUUUUAUAAUCCCGGUGUUAGGGUGAUAGAAAAGCAGAAAAAGCCUCAAAUUUAUUUGCUUCGCUGAUUUUAGAGAGCAACAGUUCUUUUAAAAUAGAAUUAUUCUUCGAAGAAAGCAAUGGGCGUACCCCAAAUCAAAGGAAACAAACAUUUGUACAGUUGUAUGAUCAUUUAACAAUUUAACGGUAUUAAAUGAGUUUGACUUGGCACACAGUAAUGUUAUUCUUAUUUUGAAAUGACAAUCUUUGUAACUUGUAUAUUUAUUAUUUUUUAAAACCUUGUUCAGAUUAAAAAAAUAAAUGAACAGACGUC
rnacentral:misc_RNA from 1 species